GCGGAGGAAAAGAAACCAACAGGGAUUGCCUCAGUAACGGCGAGUGAAGCGGCAAAAGCUCAAAUUUGAAACCCUCGGGAUUGUAAUUUGAAGAUUUGGCAUUGGAGAAAGCUAACCCAAGUUGCUUGGAAUAGUACGUCAUAGAGGGUGACAACCCCGUCUGGCUAACCGUUCUCCAUGUAUUGCCUUAUCAAAGAGUCGAGUUGUUUGGGAAUGCAGCUCAAAGUGGGUGGUAAACUCCAUCUAAAGCUAAAUACUGGUGAGAGACCGAUAGCGAACAAGUACUGUGAAGGAAAGGUGAAAAGAACUUUGAAAAGAGAGUGAAAUAGUAUGUGAAAUUGUUGAUAGGGAAGGAAAUGAGUGGAGAGUGGCCGAGGUUUCAGCCGCCCCUCGUGGGCGGUGUACUGCCGACGCCGAGUCAUCGAUAGCGAGACGAGGGUUACAAAUGGGAGCGCCUUCGGGCGUUCUCCCCUAACCCUCCACACUGCCACCGACGACAUAAUCCACCCAUUUCACCCGUCUUGAAACACG
rnacentral:rRNA from 1 species